GAAAUGCGAUAAGUAGUGUGAAUUGCAGAAUUCAGUGAAUCAUCGAAUCUUUGAACGCACAUUGCGCCCUUUGGUAUUCCUUAGGGCAUGCCUGUUCGAGCGUCAUCUAAACCUUCAAGCCCUGCUUGGUGUUGGGUGCCUGUCCCGCCUCCGCGCGCGGACUCACCUCAAAUCCAUUGGCGGCCCCCGCGUCGGCCAUGAGCGCAGCAGAAAUGCGAACUCGUGAGCCCGUCCGGGCGGCUCCCAGAAGCUACACCCACCCAGUUUGACCUCGGAUCAGGUAGGGAUACCCGCUGAACUUAAGC
rnacentral:misc_RNA from 1 species